rnacentral:rRNA from 1 species
CCUACGGGUGGCAGCAGUGGGGAAUAUUGCACAAUGGGGGAAACCCUGAUGCAGCGACGCCGCGUGAGUGAAGAAGUAUUUCGGUAUGUAAAGCUCUAUUAGCAGGGAAGAAAAUGACGGUACCUGACUAAGAAGCCCCGGCUAACUACGUGCCAGCAGCAGCGGCAAUACUAAGGGGGCAAGCGUUAUCCGGAUUUACUGGGUGGAAAGGGAGCGUAGACGGCAGAGAAAGUCUGAAGUGAAAGCCCGGGGCUCAACUGCAGUACUGCAUUGGAAACUGCCCGUCUAGAGUGCUGGAGAGGUAAGCGGAAUUCCGAGUGUAGCGGUGAAAUGCGUAGAUAUUAGGAGGAACACCAGUGGCGAAGGCGGCUUCCUGGACAGUAACUGACGUUGAGGCUCGAAAGCGUGGGGAGCAAACAGGAUUAGAUACCCUUGUAGUC